rnacentral:lncRNA from 1 species
GAGGCGUUUGCCAACAGGGACUGAAAGGAUGUAUGAUGAAUACACUUGACAGAGGAUGAAAGAGAGUGCUGGACACAGGGGGAGAGGGAGGAGAACGAACAAGAGGACUUAGGGAUGCUGACUGGAAUAUACUGUAUGUCAUGUGUGUACUCUGCACAGGCCUGUACGUGAAUCAAGGGGGAUUGUAGGAGUAGCGCUUGUUAAUGUUUCAAUCGGAUGUUUACACCCAUCUUAUGACACACAAGUUCUGAGGUGCUUUGUGUAAUUGGAUCCCGAGUCUGAGCUCUAGCAUGAGACAAAUGAGACGGAGAAGAAAAAUGAGUUCUCUCAUGCGGCAGGAUGCUCAAUUUGUCCCCUUAUCUGCGCUGAACACCCAGGUGAAGGCCACUUCCAAGCCACUGAGACGAGAAGCGCAAAGUUUGUUUAUCUGUGAGCAGUUUCAACACGGUAAAAACACAGUACACACAGUACACACACAGUACACACAGUACACACACAGUACACACACAGCACACACACACAGUACACACACAGUACACACACAGUACACACACACACAGUACACACAGUACACACAGUGCACACACAGUACACACACACACACACACACAGUACACACAGUACACACACACAGUACAAACACACACAGUACACACAGUACACACACAGCACACACACACAGUACAAACACACACAGUACACACACACAGUACACACACACACAGUACACACAGUACACACACACAGUACACACAGUACACACAGUACACACAGUACACACAGUACACACACAGUACACACACAGUACACACAGUACAAACAGUAUACACACAGUACAAACAGUACACACACAGUACACACACAGUACACACACACAGUACACACACAGUACACACACAGUACACACAGUACACACACACAGUACACACACAGUACACACACACAGUACACACAGUACACACACACAGUACACACAGUACACACAGUACACACACAGUACACACACAGUACACACAGUACACACACAGUACAAAACACUGUCCUCAGAUCAGUCCUCCCAUCCGAGCCC